rnacentral:misc_RNA from 1 species
AGAUAGUGCAAUAUCUACACACAUCAUGAUUUUAUCUGUCGUAACUCAACAAGAUGUUUGUAUUUGGGACAAAUGUUCUCACAAACCACAUAGAAAAAUAUUGUAUGUUCAGUUUAAUUGGUGCAUUAAUCUCUAUGGUAUGGUUGUUGCCUUUUAUCACUUCACUUCCGAUCUUAUAUAUUUUGUAAUUUUGAUCUUCUUAACAGGUUGAUGACACAGAAGUUAUUA